rnacentral:rRNA from 1 species
CGCGUAGGCGGGAUGGCAAGUCGGUCGUGAAAUCCUUCGGCUCAACCGAAGAACGUCGGCCGAUACUGCCGUUCUUGAGGGAUGCAGAGGAGACUGGAAUUCCCGGUGUAGCGGUGAAAUGUGUAGAGAUCGGGAGGAACACCGGUGGCGAAGGCGGGUCUCUGGGCAUCUCCUGACGCUGAGGCGCGAAAGCGUGGGGAGCAAACGGGAUUAGACUACCCCGGUAGUCCACGCCAUAAACGAUGACGACUAGGUGUGGGGUGGUUCAGUCCACUCCGUGCCGCAGCUAACGCAUUAAGUCGUCCGCCUGGGGAGUACGGCCGCAAGGUUGAA